rnacentral:rRNA from 1 species
UUGAACGCUGGCGGCAGGCCUAACACAUGCAAGUCGAGCGGAUGAAGGGAGCUUGCUCCUGGAUUCAGCGGCGGACGGGUGAGUAAUGCCUAGGAAUCUGCCUGGUAGUGGGGGAUAACGUCCAGAAACGGGCGCUAAUACCGCAUACGUCCUGAGGGAGAAAGUGGGGGAUCUUCGGACCUCACGCUAUCAGAUGAGCCUAGGUCGGAUUAGCUAGUUGGUGGGGUAAAGGCCUACCAAGGCGACGAUCCGUAACUGGUCUGAGAGGAUGAUCAGUCACACUGGAACUGAGACACGGUCCAGACUCCUACGGGAGGCAGCAGUGGGGAAUAUUGGACAAUGGGCGAAAGCCUGAUCCAGCCAUGCCGCGUGUGUGAAGAAGGUCUUCGGAUUGUAAAGCACUUUAAGUUGGGAGGAAGGGCAGUAAGUUAAUACCUUGCUGUUUUGACGUUACCAACAGAAUAAGCACCGGCUAACUUCGUG